rnacentral:rRNA from 1 species
GAUGAACGCUGGCGGCGUGCCUAAUACAUGCAAGUCGAGCGAACAGAUGAGGAGCUUGCUCCUCUGACGUUAGCGGCGGACGGGUGAGUAACACGUGGAUAACCUACCUAUAAGACUGGGAUAACUUCGGGAAACCGGAGCUAAUACCGGAUAAUAUAUUGAACCGCAUGGUUCAAUAGUGAAAGAGGGUUUUGCUGUCACAUAUAGAUGGAUCCGCGCCGCAUUAGCUAGUUGGUAAGGUAACGGCUUACCAAGGCAACGAUGCGUAGCCGACCUGAAAGGGUGAUCGGCCACACUGGAACUGAGACACGGUCCAGACUCCUACGGGAGGCAGCAGUAGGGAAUCUUCCGCAAUGGGCGAAAGCCUGACGGAGCAACGCCGCGUGAGUGAUGAAGGUCUUCGGAUCGUAAAACUCUGUUAUUAGGGAAGAACAAAUGUGUAAGUAACUAUGCACGUCUUGACGGUACCUAAUCAGAAAGCCACGGCUAACUACGUG